GAGGGUAUAGCUCAAUGGUAGAGCACAAGGUCCUGAGUUCAAUUCGCAGUACCUCCA
rnacentral:tRNA from 1 species